UUUCUUGAACUUCGCAAAUAUUACAAUUGUUUAAAAGGAGAUUUUUUACCAUAAAAUGUUAUUUAUUUAGGAUAUUACCCUAUAAUGUAACCUCUAAAAAUAUGAUGAAUGGCAUUUAUUCACCUUUAGUGUUUUGAGAUUUAUUUUAGAUACCGUUCUUAAAACUCAUCCUGUAACUAACUAAACGUUUUCUAAAUGCACUUUUUAUUAAAAUAUACUCAAUUUUAAACUUGUGCAUUUCUUAUGAAACUUCCGUUUCUUUUUAAAUGAAAAAAAAAUUUCGAUAUUAAAAACAUGACCGAAUGAAAUUGCAACUGGAGUCAUUAUUAUCCAAUUAUUCUGUCCAACGGCGAAGAAGAUGACCACGUUGAGUGAGAAAAGGGUUCUAUCUACAGUUCGAAACCUGGAGCUCACCGGUAUAUAGCUGGUAUCAGAUUGCAGAGGAUCAAGUGACCACUGGUCCGAGAAAGCUCUACAUCCUGUUUGUUAGUGACUCCAUGAAACGGUUUUGAAUGACAAUCCUGCAUCAUUAAGAGCUGAAAAAAAAACUACCCUGGUUUCCGAUCACAGAAGAAAAUCUUUCCAAUAUAAUUCAUUGCAUGUGAACCUGAUUUUGUUAAACACUGGAGCACUGGAAGCCUAAACAACAGGAGCUGUGGUUAUUACCAGUGAUCACCUGCAAGGAAUUCAGAGAUAACUUGUAAAGAAAUGUCGCUCCUCCGAAGGUUAAUUUAGAUUCAAAAUUAAUUAUUCAUACUAUUUUAACAAAAUGAAAAGAUAAAAGUAAAAAGAAGAAAGGUAGGAAAAGGGAUUGAGAUUACAAAAUAUGUAAGCUUUUUUCAUCCUUUGUUUUCUUUAUAUUCCAGCAUGAUGCUUUUUAACUGACUUUUUACUAUAAAGAAUAAUAACAAUUACCUAAUUUGUUUAUGUGUAUGUUUUUCUAUAUAAUGAAGUUAUUAGAGAUCUUAAGCUUCAUUUCGGAUAACAUACAUUUUUGUAAUUUAUUCUUAGUGGUACUUAUAAAAUUCUGAUAGUAAUAAGCCUUCUUUGAAUCUGGGAUAUAGUAUUUUUCAAGUUCGUGUGAGAUAUACAUUCAUGUAUCAUUUCUCCAUAUAAAUUUCUGACACUGAAAAUGUUUUUACAUUUAUAAAAGUUAUUUUUACGUUAAGUGAUGAAUUCAUAUUUAUUUAUUUUUUGUUUUUAUUUUUAUGGAUAAUAUGUCAGUUUAGGUGCUACGUCAAUUGUGCAAUCAUAAAAAAGAAAUUACAGAAGUUUAAGAAAAUAGUCACAAAAGUACAGGACAUUAAUAGCAUAGUGUUUAACAUUUUAUAUCAAUAAAGCAACUGUAUUUGCCUUUUUUAUCGCUGCUAUAUUGCUAUGCAAAUUCAUUAUAAGUAAUUUUUGAAAUUAUUCUGCAUUUUUUGAGUUACAAAAUCUUCAUUAUUUACUAUAGAAACGUAUGGAUAACGUUAUCAUCUGAGCAAAUGGAAAUUAUGUAAAAAUAUAAAUAUGCAAUUUUUGCGUACCAUGUAAAAUGUUUUUAUCUUUUACAUGACAUUUUCAUUCUCAUUAGAAUUCAUUCCACUUCGGUUUUGGGAGCAAAAUCUGAAGCAUAUUACUGUUCCUAAUGACGAAUUGGCUUCAUUCUCGUUUCAUCGAUUUGACCAUUAGUACCGGUUCGGCAUAUUUCAAGUUCCUGUAUUUGCAAAUUUCUAUUUCUCACUCCCAGAUGUUUUAUUGUAUCGUUUAAAAUGUACUCUGCUUGU